UUGUUUAAAUUUAUGGAUCUUUUGUACAAAGCCCCGUCACUUAUGCCAAAAUGUGAGAUUUGAGAGAAAAAGACCCCGCCACGUCACGUUUUAAAAACUGGGGUUACUAAUUUUCUUAUUUUGAGUGUUGACGGGGUGCUUUUUUGCGGGGGAUUUGUACAAAAUAUCCAAAUUUAUUCAUAGUUCGGCCCAUGCAAUUAAAUAUUGGAUUGUUUACUUUCUAUAAGUAUGUAAUCUGCCAUUUAUGUAAAACCUACCACGAUAGUUCUAUAAUAUGAGGUUCUUGGUAAUUUUAUUCGCUGUCUAACAUAUAAGAGAAUCAUAGAAAUUUAUAGUACCAAUUGAUUUAAAAAUCAAUUUUCGAAGAAAAUAUUCGAAACCACGUUGGAAACUACUCAAAAUAGAGCAGUUAUUCAAGAUGACGCUCAAACCGAAUACAAUGAAGAAAUCCAACAUAUUUUCCUAUAUCACUUUCUGGUGGUUGAACGAUUUAUUUGCUGAAGGACGCAACCGCACGCUACAAGAAGCCGAUAUGUAUGAACUAGAUCCAAGUGAUCGCUCAGAAGAAAUAUGUAAUAAGCUGGAAAAACACUGGGAAUCAGAAAAAGAAAAACCUGGGAAAACAGGAAAACCGAGUUUACUUCGCGCAAUUACGAAAACUUACGGAAACAAAUUCAUGGUAUUAGGAACACUUGGACUAUUUACGGAAAUUCUACGAAUGGCAAUCCCAAUCUUCAUUAUACAACUCAUUCGAUACUUCGAAAAUAAAGACACAUCUCCAACAUGGCACGGAUACGCAUAUGCCGCGGCAAUUACUUUUUCAUCUAUUAUACUGCCUUUGGUUUACCACUUGUAUUUUUAUCAGAUGCAGAGGAUUGGUUGGCACAUUAGGGCAUCCACUUGUGCAUUAAUGUACAAAAAGACAUUGCGUUUGAGUAGACGGUCCCUCCAGCAGACGAGCACAGGUCAAAUAAUAAACCUUGGAUCCUCUGAUGUCGCGCGAUUUGAUUUUUUGCCAAUAUUUUUACAUUAUCUAUGGAUGGGACCACUAGAAUGUAUUGCAGUAUGGUACAUUCUCUGGCAAGAAGUAGGCAUGGCGUUGUUAGCGGGAAUAGGAGUAUUUUUGUUGAUAACAAUAACUCAAAUUUCGAUUGGACGUCAGUUUGGUAAAUUAAGGAGUGCAACAGCAGUUUUGACCGAUAAACGAAUUCGCCUCACGAAUGAAGUAAUUACUGGAAUAAGAACAAUCAAGAUGCAUGCGUGGGAAGAACCUUUUGCAAAACUUGUAGAAGAUGCAAGAAGGACCGAGGUGAUGAAGAUAAUUCAGUCCUCUUCAAUGAAAGCGUUUAAUUCCUGCAUAUACUUUUGUCAAGAAAAACUAACGACGUUUGCCAUUUUACUAACUUUCGUAGCAAUGGGAGGAACAAUUACAGCCUCAAAAGUAUUUUCUAUUGUUGGGUUAUUGAACGCUUUGAGAUUAUCGACCGGAAUGUUCAUCUCUUUGGCUAUUGAGCAUACUUUUUCAUCCAUUGUAUCCUGUAAACGUAUUCAGAAAUACUUGAUUCUUGAAGAAUAUGAUACGGAGCAGAACAAGGAUGCAAACGAAUCAAGUUGUCAACCAUUUGUUAAAUUACAGAAUUUUUCUGCUAUGUGGGAAACGGAUAAACCUCAUAGAAAAAAGACGUUACAAUAUAUAUCUGCCGAUAUCAAGAAUGGUGAAUUGAUCGCGGUAAUCGGUUCCGUCGGGUCUGGUAAAUCCUCUUUGCUAAGCGCACUGACUGGAGAACUAUCCGCAUUAGAUGGUACCAAAAAGAUCAAAGGAAAAAUCUCGUACGUCGAUCAACUGCCUUGGAUAUUUUCUGGAACCAUCAGGGAGAAUAUUUUAUUCGGAAGUGAAUAUGAUUCAAAAUGGUACACUCAAGUAAUUACUGCAUGCAGUUUAUCCCAGGAUUUGAACGUACUAAAAGAUGGCGAUUUGACACCGGUUGGGGAACGAGGCUUGACACUGAGUGGAGGACAGAAAGCACGAGUUGCACUUGCAAGAGCUGUAUAUCGGAAAGAUGCAGAUAUAUUUCUGAUGGAUGACACAUUAAGUUCCGUUGAUACAGCUGUUGCUAAUCAUAUAUUUCACCAUUGCAUAAACGGGCUAUUAUUGAAAAAAAUCAGAAUACUCGUUACGAAUCAAAUGUCAUUUUUGAAGGAUUGUGGCCGAAUUAUGGCGCUGAAAGAGGGACGGGUUGUUGGUUUUGGAAGUUAUGAAGAACUUCUUGAUAGUGGUUUCGAUUUGGUAACAUUUCUUAAUAAGAAUGAUGAAGCCAAUAAGACUGACCAGUCUUUUCGUUUAGGCAGUAGAACUGUUGAACAUACAUUCAAUACAGAAUCAGAUACACGGCAAUCUGCGUAUUAUAUUGAUAAGCUGAAAACUGCGACAUCUACCGAAUCUACAACGAGCAACGAAUAUUUGAGUGUUGGGAACAAGGAAGAAGUCCGCGCGCAAGGGAGUGUGAAACGUAGAGUUUAUCUAAAUUAUUUUAGAUUGGGAGCAAACACAAUUUUCAUGGUGACAAUGAUUAUUGUAUCUUUGGCGAGUCACGUGUUAUACAUUAUGAAUGAUUGGUGGUUGGCAGAAUGGUCACAAGGAUUUGAAAAUCACAUAAAAAAAAGUUCAAAUUCAAAUUCACUUCCCAAACCUACUGAACUGUUUACACUGGAAGAAGAUGGCAGCGGGUCAUCCGUAAUCUCCAACAGGACAAUAUUUUCUGCCAAUACUAUCGACGAAAAAUCAACAGAAUUUGAUACGAAAUUUUAUCGCAAUAUUUACAUUAUUAUCACCGUUUCCAUGUUUAUCAUCAUUUUACUGCGGGCCAACAUGCAUUUUUACUUUUGCAUUUCCUCCGGAAUUCGCAUGCAUGCAAAGAUGUUUAAUGCAAUUCUGAAAUCACCUUCCAGAUUUUUUGACAUCAAUCCAGCAGGAGGAAUUCUUAACAGGUUUUCCAAAGAUAUGUGUGAAAUAGAUGAGUUCUUGCCUCCAAGAUUUUGGGAUUUUCUCUUUAUAACUGGGUUUAUUGUGAGCGUGAUCAUCUUGACAGCUGUCACAAACUAUUUUGUCGUUUUUAUCGUUAUCCCACUUGGUGCAUACUUUGUGUGGCUGAGAAAAUAUUAUCUGCAUACAUCAAGAGAUAUAAAAAGGUUGGAAGGAACCACAAGAAGUCCGAUCUUCUGUCACCUGUCUUCAACUUUACAAGGAUUACCGACAGUGAGAGCGUUCAGGGUCGAGAAACAAUUCAAGGAAAAAUAUCAUCAAAACCAAAAUUUACACAGUGCGUCGUGGUUUUUGUUUCUUACUAGCUCACAUUGGUUCGGGCUGAGGUUGGACCUCAUAACUGCGAUUUUCAUCUCUGCUGUCGCAUUUCUGUGUGUUGUUUGUGCGUCGCUACUAAAUCUAACACCAGGUGAAGUUGGUCUGAUAUUAACGUUUUCAGCUGGAAUGGUGACUCUCUUGCAAUGGGGAGUGAGACAAAGUGCUGAAGUAGAAAAUCUUAUGACUUCUGUCGAGAGAAUUCAACAAUAUUACAGAUUACCUUCUGAAGCCGCUAGUGAAAUCGAAGCCACAAAGCCACCUGCUGACUGGCCAUUUUGUGGACGGAUACAAUUCAAUAAAGUGUCAUUUUCAUAUUUUAAAAACGGCCCAAAUGUGCUCAAAGAGGUCUGCUUGAGAAUAAAACCAAAUGAAAAAAUUGGAGUGGUUGGCCGCACAGGUGCAGGAAAAACUUCUCUCGUAGCCGCCUUGUUCAGGUUGAAUGAAUUAGAGAAUGGAGAAAUAUAUAUUGACGGAAUCCCAAUCAGUACUUUGGGACUUAAAGAUUUGCGAGUUGCAAUAUCAGUAAUUCCGCAGGAUCCUAUAUUAUUUGCGGGUACUAUGAGAAGAAAUAUUGAUCCUUUUGAUAUUUAUACCGAUGACAAGUUAUGGGAGGCGUUGGCAAAGGUUCAACUUGCAGAUUUUGUGAAAUCUCUAUCGUUACAACUAAAUACAGAAAUGGCAGAAACAGGAUCAAAUUUCAGUGUUGGACAGAGACAACUGAUUUGUUUUGCAAGAGCAAUCUUGGCAAAAACUAAAAUACUUGUAGGCCUAAUUGAUGAAGCAACUGCAAAUGUAGAUAUGAGGACGGACCAGUUGAUUCAGUCAACCAUUCGGGAGGAAUUCAAACACUCCACUGUGAUAACCAUUGCUCAUCGUAUCAAUACAGUUAUUGAUUCAGAUAGAAUUUUAGUAAGUAGCGCUAUAUAAUUAGGAUAUGCUUUACAUAUAUUUUUGCGGGGAGAGUAAAGGCGAUAAAACGUCUUAUUAGUAUGGAGAACCACGGCCUCUCGUCCGGUUACGAAUCCAUGUCGGGUAUGGGAUUAGUUAGCCAGUUAUUUGUUUUCAGAUGCUUGAUGAUGACGGUAAGCCGACGACGAAUAAGCCGUAACCGACUAACGGUUACGUGAACUACCCCAGGGCGGCGAGGAGUCCAGAAAUCCUCUCGCACAUAUUUAUCCCCGCAUUGGAUUCGAACCUGCGAACCCAUACAGAGUAAUCAGAGGUACUGGGCGGAGGAUUAGUUAAAGAAUUUGACGAACCUUAUAAACUGCUUCAAAACAAGAACGGGCAUUUUGCUAAUAUCAUCAAAACAAUUGGGUGCCAGGAAGCUAAAAUAUUGGAAUCAGAG